rnacentral:lncRNA from 1 species
AGUAUAAGCUUUUGUGAUGCAUAUUUAACUGCUUUGUUUGUGAAUUUCAGCUAAGGAAACAGAUUACCUUCUUCAUGUGCUAAUACCCCAGAGUUCUUGGUAUCAGAUUUCCAGGUGCGCUUGAUAACAUGCUUGAUGUCAGUGUGAACUACUUACAAGGCAAAAUAAUAAAUCUACACUAGAAAGAGGUAAUUUUAUGACCUGAAGUCAUAACAUUUUUGACAACAGUUUAAAUGGUGCAGAUUGAGUUGAGUGAUUCUGGCUGAAAAGAUAAUGGAAGCAUGGAGAAGGAAACUUUGAAAACCUCAUAUUAUGUGGAGUUUCUUCUUAUCACGUGGAGUUUCUCGCUGCACCCAACGGCUUCAUGUCUGCUGGAGUUGAGUCAGGCUAAGACUGCUGACCCCGAGGAGUGGAACAUCCUGAAAGAAAGGUGUUCUUUCCUCUCAGGCAGAGGAGAGCCUUGCUGGUGAAACAAGGAGAAACAUCCUGGGAACCAUAUGAUAAAGGUAAAAAUCUGGCAAUGUUGUCAUCAUGCUUUUCUAGUUUAAAAUAUAUACACAGG